CCUACGGGAGGCAGCAGUGGGGAAUAUUGGACAAUGGGCGCAAGCCUGAUCCAGCCAUACCGCGUGUGUGAAGAAGGCCUUUUGGUUGUAAAGCACUUUAAGCGAGGAGGAGGCUCUUGAGGUUAAUACCCUUGAUGAGUGGACGUUACUCGCAGAAUAAGCACCGGCUAACUCUGUGCCAGCAGCCGCGGUAAUACAGAGGGUGCGAGCGUUAAUCGGAAUUACUGGGCGUAAAGCGCGCGUAGGCGGCUUGUUAAGUCGGAUGUGAAAUCCCCGGGCUCAACCUGGGCACUGCAUUCGAUACUGGCAAGCUAGAGUAUGGGAGAGGAAGGUAGAAUUCCAGGUGUAGCGGUGAAAUGCGUAGAGAUCUGGAGGAAUACCGAUGGCGAAGGCAGCCUUCUGGCCUAAUACUGACGCUGAGGUGCGAAAGCAUGGGGAGCAAACAGGAUUAGAUACCCUGGUAGUCCAUGCCGUAAACGAUGUCAACUAGCCGUUGGGGACCUUGAGUCUUUAGUGGCGCAGCUAACGCGAUAAGUUGACCGCCUGGGGAGUACGGUCGCAAGACUAAAACUCAAAGGAAUUGACGG
rnacentral:rRNA from 1 species